rnacentral:rRNA from 1 species
CCUACGGGGGGCAGCAGUGAGGAAUAUUGGUCAAUGGGCUUACGCCUGAACCAGCCAAGUCGCGUGAGGGAAGACUGCCCUAUGGGUUGUAAACCUCUUUUGUCAGGGAGCAACGCCGGCUACGUGUAGCCUGACUCAGAGUACCUGAAGAAAAAGCAUCGGCUAACUCCGUGCCAGCAGCCGCGGUAAUACGGAGGAUGCGAGCGUUAGCCGGAUUUAUUGGGUUUAAAGGGUGCGUAGGCGGAAUGCCAAGUCAGCGGGAAAAUCGCGGGGCUCAACCUCGCUCCGCCGUUGAAACUGGCGUUCUUGAGUGGGCGAGAAGUAUGCGGAAUGCGGGGUGUAGCGGUGAAAUGCAUAGAUAUCACGAAGAACUCCGAUUGCGAAGGCAGCAUACCGGCGCCCAACUGACGCUGAAGCACGAAAGCGUGGGUAUCGAACAGGAUUAGAUACCCUUGUAGUC